rnacentral:rRNA from 1 species
AGCAAACAGGAUUAGAUACCCUGGUAGUCCACGCUGUAAACGAUGUCGAUUUAGAGGUUGUGGUCUUGAACCGUGGCUUCUGGAGCUAACGCGUUAAAUCGACCGCCUGGGGAGUACGGCCGCAAGGUUAAAACUCAAAUGAAUUGACGGGGGCCCGCACAAGCGGUGGAGCAUGUGGUUUAAUUCGAUGCAACGCGAAGAACCUUACCUACUCUUGACAUCCAGCGAAUCCUUUAGAGAUAGAGGAGUGCCUUCGGGAACGCUGAGACAGGUGCUGCAUGCCUCUCGUCAGCUCGUGUUGUGAAAUGUUGGGUUAAGUCCCGCAACGAGCGCAACCCUUAUCCUUUGUUGCCAGCACGUAAUGGUGGGAACUCAAAGGAGACUGCCGGUGAUAAACCGGAGGAAGGUGGGGAUGACGUCAAGCCAUCAUGGCCCUUACGAGUAGGGCUACACACGUGCUACAAUGGCAGGUACAAAGAGAAGCGACCUCGCGAGAGCAAGCGGAACUCAUAAAGUCUGUCGUAGUCCGGAUUGGAGUCUGCGACUCGACUCCAUGAAGUCGGAAUCGCUAGUAAUCGUAGAUCAGAAUGUUACGGUGAAUACGCUCCCGGGC